rnacentral:rRNA from 1 species
UGGGGAAUCUUGCGCAAUGGGCGAAAGCCUGACGCAGCAACGCCGCGUGAGUGAUGAAGGUCUUCGGAUCGUAAAGCUCUUUCGGCAGGGAAGAACGGCCUCGGCGUGAACAAUGCCGGAGCGUGACGGUACCUGCAGAAGAAGCACCGGCUAACUCUGUGCCAGCAGCCGCGGUAAUACAGAGGGUGCGAGCGUUGUUCGGAAUUAUUGGGCGUAAAGCGCGUGUAGGCGGGAUGGCAAGUCGGGUGUGAAAGCCCUCAGCUCAACUGAGGAAGUGCGCCCGAAACUACUGUUCUUGAGUAUCGGAGAGGGUGGCGGAAUUCCCGGUGUAGAGGUGAAAUUCGUAGAUAUCGGGAGGAACACCAGUGGCGAAGGCGGCCACCUGGCCGAAUACUGACGCUGAGACGCGAAAGCGUGGGGAGCAAACAGG